AACAUUUUUAUUUAUUUUUUCUUCAGACCACAGGGCAAGAAAAGCUGAAACCUAUGUGGAGGCAUCCUUGGACAAUUUGAUUUGCUGUGAACAAUUGGUGAGAUUACUUACUUCCUUAAUGACUCCACAAAUUGACACACGCUUCCCGUCCUCCUUUUCCAGUGCCUCAGCAGAGGUUGUCACUGGAGGGGCCGAAAAAUUUCGGACCUUCUCCUCCCAUUUGUUCAUGAGGACUCCUUUGUCACCCUCUGGAAAUUUCCUAAGCUGCAAACAAAAUGUGUUUUUGAAAAACUUUACAACCAGCGUAAAAAGAGUUUGAAAAAUCUUAUUUUAGCAUAUCACAGGGAUAAAUCUAUGUUUUUGGGAAACUACCCUUUCUGAAGAAAUUGGGAAAAACAGGCAGGGUUUCGAAAAAACUUGAGUGAGUGCAGGGAAAGCCCUGCUUUGUGGACUAUAUCAGCAUUUUUAUGAUAAUUUAAAAAAACUCUAUCGUUUAUAAGAAAUUCUAAAACAAUUUCUUAACUACUGGGCCAAGAAAGAUGACUCAUAUGGUAUCAUCCUCAGGUAGUGUAGAUUCAAGGUUUUUCAAAUCAUUACCCCAAGGGGUUGGGUGGGGCCUAUAUGGCCUGUAGUUUUACGUAGGAAUAUAUACUUUGGAAAAACUUUUUCUCAAAAACAAUAGAGACAGGAAAUAUAAAACUCAAGUGAAAUCAUGCUCAGCAGGGUUCGAAAUUAACUCAUGUCCGUAAGUCCGAGACUGGUAAAAAUUGUGUCGGACUAGCAGAUUUUGUAAAGUACUAGUCCGUACGGACUAGUGCAAAUCCAGAUAUGUCUUGAAUCAAGUUCAAAUUUUAUUAAUUUUAUUUCUUAGAAAUUUGAAAAUAAACGAGAAACGCAAGUGCGAUAUAGCGUUUUCUACAUUGUGAUCAAUAGACAAAAAUGUGACCAUGAAGAGAUUUCUGAAAGUUGAAAACCUUCUUUCUUUCACCACAUGCUUCCAACUGAUGUGUGGACACAUAUUUCAUUGAAUUAAUUGAUAAAAUUUUAAGGGUUUCCAGUUAGAACAUUUAUAAAAAAGAUUUACAAAUUGUGGACAGGUACUCACUACGGUCCCUCUCUUGAUUUGGUGAAUGAAGUUUGUCGUAAUGACUGCCUAUGAUGGCACUUUAAAUAUAUCCCCCCUUUACCUUGAGAAGGCAACAUCA